AGACGCCGUUCACAGAGUGAUUCUGUCCCACCUAUGUCCAUGCACGCUGUUAGUCUGCUCCUUGAAGCUGUUCUUCUCAAAGCAAAAUCAUUGCAAGGCCUUGGACGAUAUGAAGAAAAAUUGUGAUGUGUUAGACCCGAACUGCCAACCCAAGAGAUCUAGCUAUGGGUUACCUGAGGACAAAUUUAUAUUUGCUUGUUUUAACCAGCUAUACAAGAUGGAUCCUGAUAUUUUCAAUACAUGGUGCAGCAUCCUUAAGCGAGUACCAAAUAGUGCACUUUGGCUUCUCAAAU